rnacentral:rRNA from 1 species
GGGCCCGCACAAGCGGUGGAGCAUGUGGUUUAAUUCGAUGCAACGCGAAGAACCUUACCAGGGCUUGACAUACUACGAAUCUACUUGAGAAAGUAGAGUACCUUAGGGGACGUAGAUACAGGUGGUGCAUGGCUGUCGUCAGCUCGUGUCGUGAGAUGUUGGGUUAAGUCCCGCAACGAGCGCAACCCUUAUUUUUAGUUACCAAUUCGUUGGAUUUUCUAGAAAGACUGCCGGUGACAAACCGGAGGAAGGUGAGGAUGACGUCAAGUCAGCAUGCCCCUUAUGUCCUGGGCUACACACGUGCUACAAUGGUAAGGACAAAGAGUCGCAAUCUCGUGAGAGAAAGCUAAUCCCGUAAACCUUAUCUAAGUUCAGAUUGCAGGCUGCAACUCGCCUGCAUGAAGUUGGAAUCGCUAGUAAUCG